rnacentral:rRNA from 1 species
AUACGUAGGUGACAAGCGUUAUCCGGAUUUACUGGGCGUAAAGGGCGUGUAGGCGGUCUUGCAAGUCAGAAGUGAAAUUCCUGAGCUCAACUCGGGCGCUGCUUCUGAAACUGCAGGACUUGAGUGCUGGAGGGGAUAGCGGAAUUCCUAGUGGAGCGGUAAAAUGCGCAGAUAUUAGGAAGAACACCGGUGGCGAAGGCGGCUAUCUGGACAGUAACUGACGCUGAGGCGCGAAAGCGUGGGGAGCAAACAGGAUUAGAUACCCUGGUAGUCCACGCUGUAAACGAUGAAUACUAGGUGUAGGGGGUAUCGACUCCCUCUGUGCCGCAGUUAACACAAUAAGUAUUCCGCCUGGGGAGUACGGCCGCAAGGUUGAAACUCAGAUGAAUUGACGGGG